rnacentral:rRNA from 1 species
GGGGUAUUAACUCUCAUGCAUUUCUUCCCAUCUGACAGGGUUUUACGACCCGAAAGCCUUCCUCACCCACGCGGCGUCGCUGCGUCAGGCUUUCGCCCAUUGCGCAAAAUUCCCC